rnacentral:siRNA from 1 species
AGAAGUGAUGACCCCAAAA